rnacentral:lncRNA from 7 species
AUAUCUAGUCAACUUUUGUUAGCCCCCUCUAUAACAGAGGCUGGAAUUGUUUCCUUUGUCAUCAUUUGGAAUAUAAUGCUUUUUGUUUUCUCAUGUGUCACCACGUUUUUCUUGAAGCUACCAUCAAUAGGAUCUAAAAGUUUGAUGGUGAAAUUUUCUCAACACUAUUAGUAAUGAAGUAUAAGUGAGAUUAUAGGGAG